ensembl:snRNA U6 U6 spliceosomal RNA
GUGCUCGCUUUGGCAGCACUUAUACUAAAGUUGGAACAAUACAGAGAAGAUCUGCAUGGUCCCUGCACAAGGAUGACACACAUUUGAUUGCUUUUUCAGAAUAACGCAUUCCAGAUUUUU